UUGAACGCUGGCGGUAUGCUUUACACAUGCAAGUCGAACGGGCUUUGGGGCUUGCUCCAAAGUUAGUGGCGAACGGGUGAGUAACAUAUCGGAACAUAUCCGGAAGUGGGGGAUAACGUAGCGAAAGUUACGCUAAUACCGCAUAUGCCCUGAGGGGGAAAGGGGGGGAUCGCAAGACCUCUCGCUUUCGGAGUGGCCGAUAUCAGAUUAGCUAGUUGGUGAGGUAAAGGCUCACCAAGGCGACGAUCUGUAGCUGGUCUGAGAGGACGACCAGCCACACUGGAACUGAGACACGGUCCAGACUCCUACGGGAGGCAGCAGUGGGGAAUUUUGGACAAUGGGCGAAAGCCUGAUCCAGCCAUACCACGUGAGUGAAGAAGGCCUUCGGGUUGUAAAGCUCUUUCAGCCGGAAAGAAAACGCACGGGUUAAUACCUUGUGUGGAUGACGGUACCGGAAGAAGAAGCACCGGCUAACUACGU
rnacentral:rRNA from 1 species